AGAGUUUGAUCGUGGCUCAGGACGAACGCUGGCGGCGUUGCCUAAUACAUGCAAGUUGAACGCUUGAUUUUCACCGAAGCUUGCUUCACCGAAAAUCAAGAGUAGCGAACGGGUGAGUAACGCGUGGGUAACCUACCUAUCAGCGGGGGAUAACUAUUGGACAACGAUAGCUAAUACCGCAUAACAAUGUUGGAUGCAUAUUCGACAUUUGAAAGUACCAACUGGUACACUGAGAGAUGGACCCGCGUUGUAUUAGCUAGUUGGUAGUGUAAUGGACUACCAAGGCGAUGAUACAUAGCCGACCUGAGAGGGUGAUCGGCCACAUUGGGACUGAGACACGGCCCAAACUCCUACGGGAGGCAGCAGUAGGGAAUCUUCGGCAAUGGACGAAAGUCUGACCGAGCAACGCCGCGUGAGUGAAGAAGGUUUUCGGAUCGUAAAACUCUGUUGUUAGAGAAGAACGUUGCAUAGAGUGGAAAAUUAUGCAAGUGACGGUAUCUAACCAGAAAGGGACGGCUAACUACGUGCCAGCAGCCGCGGUAAUACGUAGGUCCCGAGCGUUGUCCGGAUUUAUUGGGCGUAAAGCGAGCGCAGGUGGUUUAAUAAGUCUGAUGUAAAAGGCAGUGGCUCAACCAUUGUGUGCAUUGGAAACUGUUAGACUUGAGUGCAGUAGAGGAGAGUGGAAUUCCAUGUGUAGCGGUGAAAUGCGUAGAUAUAUGGAGGAACACCGGUGGCGAAAGCGGCUCUCUGGACUGUCACUGACACUGAGGCUCGAAAGCGUGGGUAGCAAACAGGAUUAGAUACCCUGGUAGUCCACGCCGUAAACGAUGAGUGCUAGUUGUUUGGGGCUAUCCAGCCCUAAGUGACGCAGCA
rnacentral:rRNA from 1 species